rnacentral:rRNA from 1 species
UACGAAGGGGGCUAGCGUUGCUCGGAAUCACUGGGCGUAAAGGGUGCGUAGGCGGGUUUUUAAGUCAGAGGUGAAAUCCUGGAGCUCAACUCCAGAACUGCCUUUGAUACUGGGAAUCUUGAGUAUGGGAGAGGUGAGUGGAACUGCGAGUGUAGAGGUGAAAUUCGUAGAUAUUCGCAAGAACACCAGUGGCGAAGGCGGCUCACUGGCCCAUAACUGACGCUGAGGCACGAAAGCGUGGGGAGCAAACAGG